rnacentral:rRNA from 1 species
UAAUACGUAGGGUGCUAGCGUUGUCCGGAUUUAUUGGGCGUAAAGAGCUCGUAGGCGGCUUUGUAAGUCGGGUGUGAAAACCCCAGGCUCAACCUGGGGACGCCACUCGAUACUGCAAUAGCUAGAGUCUGGUAGGGGAUCACGGAAUUCCUGGUGUAGCGGUGAAAUGCGCAGAUAUCAGGAGGAACACCGGUGGCGAAGGCGGUGAUCUGGGCCAGUACUGACGCUGAGGAGCGAAAGCGUGGGGAGCAAACAGGAUUAGAUACCCUGGUAGUCCACGCCGUAAACGUUGGGCACUAGGUGUGGGUCGUUAUCAACACGGUCCGUGCCGCAGCUAACGCAGUAAGUGCCCCGCCUGGGGAGUACGGUCGCAAGACUA